rnacentral:ncRNA from 2 species
CGAGGCAACUCUGGAAAGCGUUCCAUCCAUGUCAUCGGGUGGACCACCGACGGGGCAAGUGGGGUCACCCUCACGAAAUCUCUCAGGUCCGAAGACAGAGCGGGGAGA